AAACUAGGAUUAGAUACCCAUGUAAAUAAAUUUUAAAGUAUUAAAUUUUUAAAAUUAAACUAAUAAAAUAUUUGGCGGUAAAAUAAUUAAUUAAAGGGGCUUGAUUAAUAAUAGAAAGUACUCAUUAAAAUAGAAUUUAUUUAUUAAUUUAUUUAUCUCCGUGUAAUAUAUAUAUAAAUUUAAUUUUUAUCAAUUUAAUAAUUUUAUACAGGUCAAAAUUUAAUUUAAAAUAAAUAUAAUUUAGCCACAAAAAAUAAAAAAUAAUAAUUUAAGAAUUUAAAAGUAAAUUUAUUUUUAAAAAAAAUUAUAUUGAAAAAAAAAUUUUAUGUACAUAUUGCCCAUCACUUUCAUUAAUUAAAUGAAAUAAGUCGUAACAUAGUA
rnacentral:rRNA from 1 species